UUCAUUUUGACUGUCUGGAUCUGGAUGACGAAUCGUAGGUUCAACACUACAAAACCAACCGAACACAUGCAGACGAAAAAACUUGUAUCCACUAAGUUUAGCCUGGUGUGUUAUAUGAAGACACUGCAAACGUCUAAAGUGUUAAAGAGUACGAUCUCCAGAAAACAAAGCAGGAACACAGAGAGGAUCGGGUUCGUCUGGAUUUACCUUGGGUGGUAAAGCAGCGUCAUGGGCCGCCUGCAGGACAGCCACGGGGUCGGCGUCCACCUUCACCUGGGGCGAGAUGGGGUUUAUCAGCUAGAUCAGAUGCCAUUUUCAAGGUGUCACAGGUGUACCAGGGACGGAAUCUUUUUCACUCCUCUGGACAGCUGCUUAAGGACUGCACGAGCUUCCCCGGCACUUUCGGUUUCACCUGGAGCCAGCCGUCCCGACCCAGCCACUGCAUUUGACUGCUGUCUGCACCUAAGGAGGACUGGGCGGGGCCGUCUGGCUGUCUGCAACUACAAACGAGUCGGUGAAGAGCCUGUGAGAGCCGCUGUCCACGGCAUUCCGCUUCACCACCCUGUUGACGCCAGCCGAGCGCCUACAUGCCAGCUGGGCACCGCUUCCGGACCUGCACAUGCACAUCCUCACUCUUUCCCUCCCACGCUUUCCCAAUUAAACUAUC